rnacentral:rRNA from 1 species
UACGAAGGGGGCUAGCGUUGUUCGGAAUCACUGGGCGUAAAGGGCGCGUAGGCGGCUGUUCAAGUCGGGGGUGAAAGCCUGUGGCUCAACCACAGAAUUGCCUUCGAUACUGGACGGCUCGAGACCGGAAGAGGUCAGUGGAACUGCGAGUGUAGAGGUGAAAUUCGUAGAUAUUCGCAAGAACACCAGUGGCGAAGGCGGCUCACUGGCCCGAUACUGACGCUGAGGCACGAAAGCGUGGGGAGCAAACAGGG